AUGCUUUUCCUAAAGAUUAAGCCAUGCAUGCCUUCGAAUAAGAGGAAGCAAUUCUCUCUGAAUCUGCGAACGGCUCCGCAAACCAGUUGUAAACCACAGCAAGCCCGCAAGGGUGGGCCUCGGCUCGCCUGCGCGAUACGGAUAACCCUGGUAAUUCUAAGGCUAAUACGUGUAUGGAACACCCGGUGGGCCGGCCUUUGUGCUGGGAAACCGGGAGGCGAGGGAUUGAAUGUUUGGAUUACCAGGAACGGGCG
rnacentral:rRNA from 1 species